UCAUUGCUACCUUGGUUGUUAGAUAUGCCAUCUUUUGCCACCUGCAUGCUGUUUAGCGCAUGUUGGCGAUUUCUGGCGAAUGACUAUUUUUGAUCCGUCCAUGGCAAUUUCUCAUCACAGCUAGGCCAAAGGCAAAAGGAUGAGUCUCAUAGAACUAUCAUAAACACUGCAAGUUUGUUGGCUGCUUUGUGGGCUCGAUGGAUACAAUUUUUCAUCGGUCAUUUACGAACUACCAAUCGCUCACUAAAAAGCAUUUAUCCCUUUUGAUCUUUUUUGUUUGCCACAUUAUCCCUCUCAAACUAGUCUACCAACUACUAUCACUUGCUAGAUUUGUGGAAAACUGUUAGUUUAUAGCCUGCAAAUGACUAAUGAUAGAGCUAGUGAUUUAAAAAGUGCUAGUUGCUAAAAGGCGUCAGGGUCUAAAAAUGCUUGAGGCGCUAGGCGCUCUCCUAAACACCCACCCAAGCAAAGCAAGGGGUUCUGAAACAUUAAAAUAUAAAAAAUAUAUAAUAUAAUUGACAAAUAUGAUUAUAUAAAUAUAAAUAUGAUAUUAAAU
rnacentral:lncRNA from 1 species